GACGAACCGUGCGAACGUUGUUCGGAAUCACUGGGCUUAAAGGGCGCGUAGGCGGCGUUUUAAGUCGGGGGUGAAAGCCUGUGGCUCAACCACAGAAUGGCCUUCGAUACUGGGACGCUUGAGUAUGGUAGAGGUUGGUGGAACUGCGAGUGUAGAGGUGAAAUUCGUAGAUAUUCGCAAGAACACCGGUGGCGAAGGCGGCCAACUGGACCAUUACUGACGCUGAGGCGCGAAAGCGUGGGGAGCAAACAGG
rnacentral:rRNA from 1 species